UUGUUUCGUUUACUCACGGAAAUUCCCAACUUCUCAUAACUUGCUUUGUUGAUAUUGUUGUUUGGAAAGCGAAAGUAAACAGAGCGUCUCCACACUCGGUCGAUACAUUACAUUAUAUUUUUUGUUUAUUCCUGUCCAAAGUGUAAAGCAUAGAAGUGCAGGUGAAAUACUGUCAUUGCUUCGCUGAAUGUUAUGCAGAGAAAUCUGUGGACUCUCUCUCUCUUGAUUGGCUCGAAACAUUGGUUACCCGUUUUCUUGAUACAGAAGUGUUUCUGGUCCCAUCAAAUUCUCACGAAGCUAAGACUGAAGCAUCGCGUCUCGUUAUUUGGAAAUUCUUUGUGCUGUCCAGGAUCAGAAAGAAGAACUACCAUGGCUUCUAAAAACUCCGCACCCACCAAGGGGAAAAGUGAGCACAUCAGUACUAAGGAAGUUGCUCGUGGCAAGUGGGUGGUCUUAAACAAUGUCACGUACAAGGACCCGACUGGAAAAGAAAGAAGCUGGGAAGCGAUUGGAAGAACCACAAAGUGUAAAGGGGAAGCUGACGCUGUUGGAGUCAUCGCCGCCUUCAACGACCCGUCCCGUAAGUGUCGGUGUGUGAUCCUUGUACGGCAGUACCGACCCCCACUGAAGGCUUACACCAUUGAGUUCCCUGCUGGUUUGAUUGACGCUGGAGAGACAGCAGCUCAAGCUGCCGUGAGAGAAAUGAAAGAAGAGACAGGAUAUUCAGUCUCAGUCUCCAAAGUCCUCCCAGCCAGCGCUCUCGAUGGCGGUGUUGGAGAGACAACGAUGAAGAUCGUCAUUUGUGAUCUGGACGUUGAGGCCGAGGGCAACAAAAAUCCGGCGGCUGUUGGUGGAGGAGCUGAUGAGUUUGUGGACGUCCUUAUACAGCCGCUCCCUUCCUUGCUGGAAAAACUGAAUGAAUACUCCGAGGCUGGCGAUGUUGUGGAUUCUCGAGUCUACGCUUGGGCCGUGGGGAGACAAUCCGACUAACUCGGCCGGUCUCCACGCUAUUGGGGUCAGGGUUUUGCCAAAAGGUACUCCCCCAGAUUCCGAGGACAUUCUUCCAGAUAAACUUCAUCAACUGUGAGGGCAUCACUUGUAGACCGACAUUUUGCUGGAGAGAUAAUUAUGAUGAAUGUAAUUGUAUGUGCCUUUUUUUAUGCGUAUACAUAAUUCUGUUAAUACAGUUAACUUGUUUUUCUUUUGCAAUUUUGUAACUCCAGUCAAAGCUGUUCGCACAGUAGUAUUCAAAA